rnacentral:lncRNA from 1 species
AUACAUUAGAAGGUUGAGUUGGGUUUCAAGAUUGUUUUUAUCAGAAAAUUAAUUAUUUAAUGAAGUAUUUUUUAUUAUUUUCUAACGAUUCGAAAAUGCAAUAUACUACUUUGUCGAAUUCUUUUUUGUUUGGAAAAACAGAAACAUUAUAUCUAUAAAUGUGUGUGCAGAGCGGCAUCGCUCGUCGCAACCGCCUUACCAUAACAGCAUAUAAAUAAGCCAGGUGGUUGAGAGUGGUGUGAUGCCGUUGUUCGUCUCUCCACCGCCUCAUCCUUUUCGCCUUGAAACCCUCUGGAUGAAUAAGGGAUCACGAUCAAGAAGCGGCGAUUCCGCUUGAUCUCUGCAUCCCGCCCCGACUCCGGUCUUCGGGUACGUUUUCUGUGUCUUUUGUCCUCUCUGUCGUUAGGGUUAGGGGAUCGUUGCGGUGGCUCUUGCGGCCAUUCGCCAUGUUGUUGUUGUGUUCUUGUCUCGAUUUUUCUCAUUUCUGAUUGUUCUUGGUCUGGUGGGGGGUUUUGAGCAAUGUGCUGCUUUAUUGUCGUAGAAAGAACUCUGCGGGAGUUGAGGUUGAAGACGACCACGAACAGAUGGCAGAAGAGCCGGUGUCGAAGAAAGCGAAAAGGAACUGAUCGAAUUUCUUGGAGGCGGCGGUGUUAUCGGCGGAUGAAAUAGGUAACCGACCGGGCCAAUGGCUUGAAAGCCGACGAAAAUGGGAACACCAGGCAGUCGGAGAUCGACGAGAACUUGCAUGGCCCAGAUCCAGCAGUAUAUGGUAGGGAGAGGAACCAUCGCCCCCUUGCAUCCAACGAUUUCAUCUCUUGGGCUUCAGGGUCCAGGCGCGAAUAUAGGUAAACAUUUCUUUCUCUCGACAUGUUCUCUUUUCUUGAAAUGGUGGAUGGCUAUCUUUCUUUGAAUUGCUUAUUAUAGUUGAAUAGAACGUAAUUUUGAAACCACACAAAUUUGCCUGUUCAUUAUUUGGAUUGUAAAAUUGUUACCGCUGUUUCAUUCCUAGAGAUUAUAUUGUUAGAUGAAGUCUUUACUCAAGAAAGAGAAAAAAAAAAAAAGAGUUGAUCGAGUAGGUGACAAUUUCUUGCUAUAAACUCUGUUUCACUUUUAUGUCACUUGUUGAUUGAUGAUAUACGUGAUAUACAGGUUCUUUGAUGAGGUUUACAUGAGUUCUUGAUGUUUUCUUUAUCUUGUGAUGAAUGUGCUUUGUUGUUCAUGAUUAUUUUAAUGAGUUUCGCUUGAACUUUUUGUCUUGUUUAUUCUCUUACGUAGGUAAUAUAUGCAAACCAACAACAACAACAACAACAAAUAUCUUUCUAUUUCUUGUGCUUUUCGAGUUACCAUGUUUCAACCACAUUACGUGAAUUCCAGAGUACCAUAUUUGACUUGAAUCAUAACUGAUCUUAUAAUUGUUCUAUUCAACAAAAUAAUUUAAUCUGUAUUCCCUCAGUGGUCACAAGGUACUUCAGGUGCCUAUCUAUAUUUUCACUACAAUUCUUUGAAUAAUUUGUUUUCUAUAAUUCUUCUCUUGAAAGUUACAUAGCUCAGGCAAUAUCAAGGUAAAAGAAAUUUUUAACAUAUUUUUUAAAACUUAUCUAAAUUAUUUCCUUGGAUGAUUCCAGUCCAUUCUGUCGAGUUUAUAUAGUCACUGGUCAAUCCAAUCCUAGGAGUCUUGGUUUCUCUCACAUAAUACUGUGUGUUUAUUUAUGUUUAUUUACUUGUAGAAAGGAAAGAUGUUGUGUUUCCUGUGGGCACCAUUUCGAUGUCGUUGUGCCUUCUCAGGAUGAGAACAUUGUGAUCAAGUUAGACGUUCCACUCAUAUCAAUUUGGUAGGCUUGAGAGACCAUGAGAACAAAAUGUUUAGUGCAGCUUAACUGCAAAAAAAAAAAAAAAAAAGAUAUUCCUUAGUUUUCAAGUUUACUGGAAAUAAAUCAUGAGGACUCGGUAAUGUCUUCUCCUUUCUGCCAUCCUUAGAACUGGUGAGGCCUGUAGGUGAAGUUCGCUGUCUAUUCUUUAGCAACUACAUUAUAGAGUGGAUUCAUAUUUCAUGCUGCAUACUUAAUGCGUUGAAUAGAAGAUAUUCAUCAAACACGUCUUUCCGUUCACAUGAUCUUCGUUAACAUAUGCUGUAUUGUAUAUUUGAUGUAUAUGUUGAAUCAAUCUGUCAAGACGUUUUCAAGAUUUGUAGUAGUUGAUUUUGGGACCGGUUUUACCAAUCAUAUCAUUGAGAUAGAUAUUAUGAUUUAGGAGUUGCCAUUCUUGAUCGGGCAAAUAAAUUGAACAAGUUAGUUGAUGGUGUUGAUUUGACAGUGUCACCUGAUUUUAACAUGAGUAAAAUUAUAACAGAUGGGUAAGCUACAUGAUUCUCUGGUGCCAUCGUCGGUGAUGCUGGUGUUGCUCUUCAUCGUGCCACAGUGCUGCAACUGUGUGCCUAGAAGCUGCCUCCAGGAUCUUUAUUUGAAUCCAGUUCAGUUGGAAAAGGUUAGUUCCUAUUUCCUUCUAUAAAUGUUCAAAUAUUAGCAUCCUGUUUGUUGCAUUUCAUUUGACUACUAUUGUAUGGGAAGCAAGGAUAUUUUCUAUGGAGUGUAUAAUUGUCCUUUGGGUCUUUUUGAUGCAUGAUAUAUGGUCAUUGUUUUUUUGGCUUGGUCAACUAAACCCAAUUUGUAUUUCCCAAAGCCAAAUUGUAACAGACCAAGUUUCUUGGCCGUGGGUUAAUUUUGCCCAUGAUCCCCGUUGUGAGUUUGCCAAAUUUGCUAAAGUCACUCGAUGUCUAUUGAUUUUAUGCUGUAUUUGUUAGUUCAGAACUAUUUUGAUUGAUCUUGAUCUAUUUAUUUCUCUAUUGGAAGCUUUGUUGGCUGAAGAAGUUAGUAGAUGUGGGCUAAUUUUUGUUUCAGAUCAUUGGAUCAGACCAGAAUUGUGCCUUCUUGAACCAUUCGGUCUUUCACAGAAUCGUGCAACGAUCAUUGUCUUUCUUCAAUAACAAGUCAAGGUUGAGAUUCCGUGAGUGUUCUCAUUUAUAAUCAGCUAGCUUUUGAAAGCCUCGGUGUUCUUGUGCAUCUGAAUUUUCCGGUUUCUACAUUAUUUUGCUAAAUCAAAAUUGCCGGUACCUUACUGAAAAUUGGGGGUUAUUUUCCCAGCUGGAAAUUAUUUAUGAGAUUUUAAAUUGUUCUUUUGCUCAUGUGUUCAUGCAGCCAGUGCCAAGUGAUUAACUUAAUCUGCAUUUACUUAAUCCAACUUGCAAGCACAAUGUUCUGAUUUUAUAGAUUUCGUUAUCAUGUUACAGGUGAGUGCUGUACGCAAUUUUCAUACGGAUUUAA